rnacentral:lncRNA from 1 species
ACCAGGCAGAGCGCGUGUGGCCGCCGAGCACAUGGACCCACUGGUCAAGCGGGCUCGGCAAGGCCAGGAUGAAGAGAAGCUACGAACUUAGCAUUCCCAGAGCCCCCCGAGUGGAUAUCCGCGUGGAAAGGAUGUUGGCAGCCCCGGUGACCUCGGAGUCACGGCUGGAUCCACCCUCUUAGAGCCGAGUUCUGUCACCACAGACAUUGGCAGUGGCACUUGCAUGCCCCUGGCAAGCAGUCUAUCCUGAGGUGGAGGAAGUUGCCCUUGAGUUCUGGCUGGUAACCAGCACAGGGGCUGGGACACUGCCUGAUUGAGGUGGCCAUUGAGAAUUCAAGUGUACCUCUUGGUCCCUGAUGCAGAAAUGAAGUCCCCAGCAUGCUCAAGAAGAGCUUCCUUGGAGGAUGAGAGGCAUGGGAAUCUAAGUAUACCCUUUAAGCGUUCCAGAAGGAUUUUGAGAUCCUUUCCUAAAUCAAAGGUGGAAUAUUUGGGGAUUUGGAAAAUUGAGCAUUUUUUUCCCCACUUGCUUGACUGUAAUGCUAACAUGCUCUCUCUGCUCCAACCUGGAGAAGCCAGUCUCUCAGAAGAACCAGUUGUGUUACUUUGCUGUGAGAUGCCUGCCCUAAGAGAGGAGCAGAAGGUCGGAACGGGUCCUCUAAUGUGAUAAUUAGAUGUGAAGCGUUGACUUAAGAGAUGCCAAGUAACUCAGCAGAUGUCACACAGACGAUAAAUAGCAAAGAUGGAAGUCUUCAUGCCGGAGGCAAUCCUAUAAGACAGCUGAGUUCUGCAGAGCUGGAGACAGACUUGCUCAGGUGAUAGAUCCAGCCAUGAUACUGACCCUAAGAGAAUGAGACGCUCUGCAGAAGACAGAAGAUUCCUGAAACUGGGAAAGGUGCCUAGAAAUCCUGAUAAGAGUGAAGAAGGGUACCUGGAGGCACAGCAGCCAUGUUGAACCUAUGAGGUGAUGAAAAACCAUGCAACUAGAAACCAGAAUGGAAGAAAAGAAGAAGCUGGAUCCUUGACUGAAUUGUCGAUGGGGGAUAGUCCAUCAUCCCAGGGCUAAGACCACCUCCAGAUUUCUUGUUUGGUGAAACAAGUCCUGAUUGUUUACAUUCCCUCGUGUUGAGCUGUCUCUUGCUUGUAGCUGAAAGCAUUUCUAAUAGAUAUUCAGAUUAUCAGCCUUAGCUCCAAGCUAGAAUACUCUAUGGGACCUUAGCUUCUCCAUGAAUUCCUUUGCUCAUCUGUGUAAUGCUCAAUAAAUGUAAAUUGAACCCUGAAUGAGGGACAAUGACA